CGGCGGCCUAACCAUGCAAGUCGAGCGAUCCUUCGGGAUAGCGGCGGACGGGUUAGUAACGCUUGGGAACGUGCCCAAUGGUGCGGGAUAGCCUCUGGAAACGGAGAUUAAUACCGCAUGUACCCUGAGGGGGAAAGAUUUAUCGCCAUUGGAUCGGCCCGCGUUGGAUUAGGUAGUUGGUGGGGUAAUGGCCUACCAAGCCUACGAUCCAUAGCUGGUUUGAGAGGAUGAUCAGCAACACUGGGGCUGAGACACGGCCCAGACUCCUACGGGAGGCAGCAGUGGGGAAUCAUAGACAAUGGGGGCGACCCUGAUCUUGCCAUGCCGCGUGAGCGAUGAAGGCCCUAGGGUUGUAAAGCUCUUUCGCCAGGGAAGAUAAUGACGGUACCUGGUAAAGAAACCCCGGCUAACUCCGUGCCAGCAGCCGCGGUAAUACGGAGGGGGUUAGCGUUGUUCGGAAUUACUGGGCGUAAAGCGCACGUAGGCGGGCUGGAAAGUUGGGGGUGAAAUCCCGGGGCUCAACCCCGGAACUGCCUCCAAAACUGUCAGCCUGGAGUCCGAGAGAGGUGAGUGGAACUCCGAGUGUAGAGGUGAAAUUCGUAGAUAUUCGGAAGAACACCAGUGGCGAAGGCGGCUCACUGGCUCGGUACUGACGCUGAGGUGCGAAAGUGUGGGGAGCAAACAGGAUUAGAUACCCUGGUAGUCCACACCGUAAACGAUGAAUGCCAGACGUCGGGCAGCAUGCUGUUCGGUGUCACACCUAACGGAUUAAGCAUUCCGCCUGGGGAGUACGGCCGCAAGGUUAAAACUCAAAGGAAUUGACGGGGGCCCGCAACAGCGGUGGAGCAUGUGGUUUAAUCGAAGCAACGCGCAGACCUUACCAACCCUGACUCCUUCUCGCGGUCCGGGAGACCGGUUCCUUCGUUCGGCUGGAAAAGACAGGUGCUGCAGGCUGUCGCUGGCUCGGGCGUGGAAGUUCGGGUAAUCCGGGACGAAGGCACCCCACCCUUAUUGCCCCAUUAAUUGGGCCUUAAGGGAACGGCGAAGAAAAUCGAGAAAGG
rnacentral:rRNA from 1 species